rnacentral:lncRNA from 1 species
AUGGUGAAUUCCCAGAACCAGAAGAAAUGUGCAACAUUAGCUGAGAGAUUUUAUUAUUGUUUUUCUUUUAAUCAGGAGAUCUUCUUAACCACUGAAGAUUUUGUUUGCCAGCUCUGGGGCAGUUCUAAGACCUGGAUGAACCAAAAGGAAAAGUUGCAUUUCUUGAUGCACCCAAUGAAAGAAGCUUCAGAGCCUGCUCCUAUUUGCUGA